rnacentral:lncRNA from 1 species
UACUUGCAUUGAUAUCAAUAUCACAUGCUUUAUUGUCUGCCUGAAAACACCCGAGUCCAUUCCUCCCACACUUAUAUGUGCCCAGUACAGGCACAUAUCUUUCGAUGUGCCAGUUUAGACAGAGACUGCCCUGCCAAGUUCAUUUGUGCCUUCUGUUUGCUGCCGGGUAUAAGGAUAAGUGAGUGAGUGAGAAUUAUGUCAGUUGAAUAUUGGAAUUAAAGGUCUGAAUCCAAGUGGUUCUACUUUUUGUUACUUCAUUGUAACAAAAUUCUAGGCAGGACCCUUUGAACAUUUUAUCCUUCAUCUUUCACAUGUGCAAUGAUAGGCACAUGCAAAACUUUUAUUAUUCAUAUAAAGUUAAAGAAAAAUGUUCUAUAGAUCUGUUAGGAGAAGGUUUUUCAGUCUGAAGCUUGUAUUGCAUUGCAGCAAUAACUGCUACCACAAAAACGUGGUCUGACUAAAGAGACUCACAGCCUUCAUCAAUGGUUCACCUGUUUAGCAAGAUUUAAUACCACCAACUAGAUUCCACUGUGACAAAGUAAUAAGAGCCUUACAGUUCUCUGUAUUGGGGUUUAACCUUUUCCAGAAUGGGGCAUAAAGAAUGACUAUAAUAAAAAAGAAUUAUAAGGAAGUCUAACUGGCUUUUCUCAGUAUAAAAUGCUUUGUAAAGAGAAUUAACACUUCAUCUUUUAGCUGAUUUUCAGCUAUACAAUUUUAUGGUCUGUAGUUUUCUGUAGUAUUUCCUUCCAACUUGUACGGGCAUAAGUCUUGGGAAGUAAUUUGCCUGACUCGUGCAGUAGCAAUGUAAAAAGUAAGAUGCUAUUUCAAAUAUGAAAAAUUGAUUUCAAAAAUCCAUGGGUUACCCUUAAGAGCAUACCUGUCCAUUUUUUCUGUUUUUAGUAUGCAAGUUUAUGUACACUCAAGUCUAUGUAUUUAUUAGGAGAAUAUUUAUAAUUAUAAAACUGUAAUAUUUAAAGCUAUUAUUAGAAUAAUUUUCUUAUGGGAAACUUGGCAUGCCUAAUGUUAACUUUAAGGACAAGAGAAGUCUUUCACACAUCAUGAAUGAAGAAGUUGGAAUCAACCUCAGAAUGAGAUGCCAUAAUUAUAUGGAUUCUUGCUUAUUUGUUUUUUUGGUUAUUUAGCUUCCUGCAGAUGUUUAAUUGACUUUUUUUACCCUCUCAAUUUUAGCCUUACAAAAGCAUGGCAUAUUUAGAAAUUAUUUUACCAUGAUUAUUAUUUUAUUUUAAGGAAAUUUGGGUAGCAGACAGUAUUUUCCUUUGCUUCAUUUUAGCAGUUUUCCUGUGUUUCAGGAAGAGCCAGCCUUAUUUUCCCACUGCCAUCUUCACGCUUCCUUGCCAGACUCCGAAUAAAUGUCAUACCAGAAAGCAAAGACAGUUAUUACUAUACAGUGUACUGAGAGUUUAUGGUUCUCAUCAUGCUUUUCAUUUUACUUUCUUGCCAAACAAGAAAAAUAAUUUAAUGUUGAUUAUGUGUUUUUUAUAUUAUAAAAAGGGAAGUUAUUCAGGUUCUAGACUUUUUAUUAGAGCAUUUGAUGCUGUAUAUGUUAAUAGUAAGUAUGUCAUUAUCAUUUUAAAAU